AUGCCCGCUGCCCAGGCCACCUGGACUCAGCCUCGCCAGGUGCCACCAGAGGCCUGGACCCCCAGGAUUCCCCGCGCUCGCGCCUCUCGUCCAACUCGUGACCCUCGCCAACCGCCCUGCGGGCCCAGGGGGGCCGGGAGCGGGGCGGUCAUCCGGACCAAAGCCAUGACCUCUCACUGCCCAGGCCGCCAGCCCGCCCGGAAGCCAAAGAAAAAGAAAGAAAGAGAGCUCAAGCCCAAGGAGCUGGAGGGGACCAAAGCCAAAUGUGAGUGUACCUUCAUUGCGAUCAACCAGAUGGGGUCCAGCGGGGUCUUGUGGGAGAGAUUAUCAAGCGUUUUGAGCAGAAGGGAUUCUGCCUUGUUGGUCUGAAAUUCAUGGAAGCUUCUGAAGACCUUCUCAAGGAACACUACCUGAUGGACCGUCCACUCUUUGCCGGCCUGGUGAAAUACAUGCACUCAGGGCCAGUAGUUGCCAUGGUCUGGGAGGGGCUGAACGUGGUGAAGACAGGCCGAGUCAUGCUCGGGGAGACCAACCCUGCGGAUUCCAAGCCUGGGACCAUCCACGGAGACUUCUGCAUACAAGUUGGCAGGAACAUUAUACACGGCAGCGAUUCUGUGGAGAGUGCAGAGAAGGAGAUUGGCUUAUGGUUUCACCCUGAGGAACUGGUAGAUUACAAGAGCUGUGCUCAGAACUGGAUCUAUGAAUGACCAGAUGGCAGACCACAAUGCUUUUCACAUUCAUUUCCCCUCCUUCCCAUGGGCAGAGGACCAGGCUGUGGGAAAUCUAGUUAUUUACAGGAGCUUCUUCAUAAUUUGGAGGGAAACCCUUGGAGCUGUGAGUGCUCCCUGUACAGUGUUACCAUCCCCUACCUCAGAUUAAAAUGCUUCCUCCCAACAGAGGAU